CCCGGGGAUGGAUUCUGAGACACGAAUCCAGACCCUACGGGGUGCAGCAGGCGCGAAAACUUGGCAAUGCGAGCAAUCGUGACCAGGGAACUCCAAGUGGCUGGGGUAAUACCCAGUUUUUUCUUGACUCUUCAAAGGUCUUGGAAUAAGGGGUGGGUAAGGACGGUGCCAGCCGCCGCGGUAAUACCGGCGCCUCAAGUGGUAGUCGCUUUUAUUGGGCCUAAAACGUCCGUAGCCGGUCUGGUGCAUUCGUGGGUAAAUCAACCCGCUCAACGGGUUGAAUUCUGCGAGCACGGCCAGACUUGGGACCGGGAGAGGUGUGGGGUACUCUCAGGGUAGGGGUAAAAUCCUGUCAUCCUGAGAGGACCACCUGUUGCGAAGGCGCCACACUAGAACGGAUUCGACGGUCAGGGACGAAACCUAGGGGCACGAACCGGAUUAGAUACCCGGGUAGUCCUAGGUGUAAACGCUGUGGACUUGAUGUUGGGGGUGCUCCGAGCACUCUCAGUGUCGAAGCGAAGGUGAUAAGUCCACUGCCUGGGGAGUACGGUCGCAAGGCUGAAACUUAAAGGAAUUGGCGGGGGAGCACUGCAACCUGAGGAUUGUGCGGUUUAAUUGGACUCAACGCCGGGA
rnacentral:rRNA from 1 species